AAAAGGACUUUUCCAAGGCUUGUAAUGAGGUUGGGCUAACAAAAAAAAUUGGUUUUUCUGGAAUGCAAAAUCCUUGAGUUAAGAGAGCUACCAUAGUGUCCAACAUUUAAGCACAACUCUCUUCAUCACCAAUCUCUCUUAUUCCCAACUUUUUCCCUUUUCUUUUGCAUUAAGCCCAUCUUCAUGCUUUUUCUUCUUUUCUUUUCUUUUUCUCAUGUAUUUUUCUUUCACAACAUUUGAGCUCAAUGCUUUUUCAAUUGCCUUUCAGUUUCCCCCAUGUAACCCCAAACUUGAACCUUUUCAUCACAUACAAUUAAGCUCACCCC
rnacentral:lncRNA from 1 species